CCUACGGGAGGCUGCAGUGGGGAAUAUUGCGCAAUGGGCGAAAGCCUGACGCAGCGACGCCGCGUGAGGGAUGAAGGUCUUCGGAUCGUAAACAUCUGUCAGCAGGGAAGAACGGUCACUGUGCUAAUCAGCAGUGAAUUGACGGUACCUGCAAAGGCAGCACCGGCUAACUCCGUGCCAGCAGCCGCGGUAAUACGGAGGGUGCGAGCGUUAAUCGGAAUUACUGGGCGUAAAGCGCUCGUAGGCGGUAUGUCAAGUCAAGGGUGAAAUCCCCGCGCUCAACGUGGGAACUGCCUUUGAAACUGGCAAACUGGAGUGUGUGAGAGGAUAGUGGAAUUCCAGGUGUAGGAGUGAAAUCCGUAGAUAUCUGGAGGAACAUCAGUGGCGAAGGCGACUAGCUGGAACAUAACUGACGCUGAGGAGCGAAAGCGUGGGUAGCAAACAGGAUUAGAUACCCCUGUAGUC
rnacentral:rRNA from 1 species